GGACCAGUUCUACAAAGAAGCAAUUGAGCACUGUCGCAGCUACAACUCUCGGCUGUGUGCUGAGCGAAGCGUCCGCCUUCCCUUCCUGGAUUCGCAAACUGGGGUAGCUCAGAACAACUGCUACAUCUGGAUGGAGAAGAGGCACAGGGGACCAGGCCUGGCCCCAGGUCAGCUGUACACGUACCCAGCACGUUGCUGGCGCAAAAAGAGGCGUUUGCAUCCCCCUGAGGAUUCCAGGCUGAAGCUGCUGGAAAUUAAACCUGAAGUUGAUCUGCCUCUGAAAAAAGAUGGGUUUACAUCAGAAAGUACAACUCUGGAAGCCUUGCUGCGUGGAGAAGGAAUAGAGAAAAAAGCGGACACUAAAGAGGAAGACACUAUACAAGAAAUCCAGAGGGUUUUAGAAAAUGAUGAAAAUGCAGAUGAAGUGAAUGAGGAAGAGGACUUGGAAGAAGAUAUUCCAAAACGAAAGAACAGGCCUAGAGGACGGCCAAAGACCCCCACCUGGAAAAAAAUUUUCCAGAAAAAUGCUCGGGGAUCUGGAGGUGGCAGGAGACGGAAUGAUGCUGCCUCCCAGGAUGAUCAUGACAAACCCUAUGUUUGUGACAAUAGUUACAAACAAAAGCAUAACUCAAAAAUCUCCGACAAAGUCUGUGGCAAGCGUUACAAGAACAGGCCUGGGCUGAGCUACCACUAUGCUCACACCCACCUCGCCAGCGAAGAGGGUGAUGAAGCCCGUGAGCAGGAGACCCGCUCUUCCCCUGUCCACAGAAAUGAAAACCACAAACCCCAGAAAGGACCAGACGGGGUCAUCAUUCCCAAUAACUACUGUGACUUCUGCCUCGGAGGCUCCAAUAUGAACAAAAAAAGUGGCCGGCCUGAGGAACUUGUAUCAUGCUCAGACUGUGGGCGCUCUGCUCAUUUGGGAAGAGAAGGCAGGAGGGACGAAGCAGCGCCAGCACGCACUACGGAGGACUUGUUCGGUUCCACGUCAGAAAGCGACACCUCGACCUUUCAUGGCUUUGACGAGGACGAUGCAGAAGAGCCUCUCUCGAGCCGAGGAGGUGGCUGUGGUGGCAGCUCUCCCUCUGCAGACAAAAAGGGCGGCUGCUAAAAUAACUAAAAAGACACACAAACUCUGAGUGAUUUGCUGUCCUUUUUACUACUAGGAUUAUUAUUACCUUUUUCUUUUUUUAAUUUUAGGUCCUUGGGUUUUUGGGGUUUUUUGUUGUUAUUUUUGUUGUUUUUCCUGUGGGGUGUACACUGAAAGCACAAGCAUUUAAAGCUUUUGACAACUACUUCGAAGAGACAGAAGGUUUUGAUUUUCCUGUUGUUUUUUUCAUUUUAAUUUGUUUUCCUCCCACCUCCCCCCUUCUCUUUCUCUCUGGAAACGUAAAAGGUGGAUUUAAUAUUUUUUUUAAUAGUGAGCAGAGUUGAUUUUCUUGUCUUUUAAUAUAUAUAUCGGCAAACCAUGAAAAAUACAGAUGGGUUGGAGAGCAGAAAGCAAACGCAAAUAGGUUUUUUAAUUAUUAUUAUUUAUAUAUUCUAUAUAUUAUUAGAAAAACUACUUUUUAAAUAAAAAUACAAAAAAACAAAAAGCAAUGGAUGUCUACUCGAUAAUAGAACUGUUUCUAGAGAACCACUGUGGGCGGACUCUAUUGGAGGACAAGGAAACCCUUAAUGUGAUGGCUUCUGCGUUUUGAGAUUUUGCACUUACUGUAGCAUGUGGAGUUUGGCUCUUCUUGUACACCUGCUACGCUUGUCUUUAACAGCUUGAAAAUACAAGCAGCACCACUGAAGACCAUGACCUUGGGGAACACGUUUCCAUCCCUCCUUUGGACACCUUUACACUCAAUAGAUCUCUUCUUCCCUGCACCCCUUCAUGUCUUCCUCACUCCGUUCUACUUUUUUUUCUUUUCCUUCACCUUUCACUUCAUGGACAGCAAUUUCCAAGCAUAGGGAUGGAAUAUGAAUGGCAAGUUGUAGACGUCAAAGACAAAACAGAUGGAGGAGAGAAUCAUGGAAGAAAUGAUAUGGAAAAAUACCUCACUUGUACUUUUCUUUCCAUUUUUAAAUUUUAAUUCACAGCAUUUUUUCCUGUGUCGCCCAGUUUUUUUCUCUCUGUAGUGUCUUGUGAGACACUUUGUUUGCUUUUCAAUAGCUUCUCUUGACAUAAACCAAAGCAAUAGUCAUUAAAGUUCCAAGGGCAAUGGAGAAGAGAGUGACUCCCUUCCCAGCGACUUUCCCAGAAAGGAGGAAACAUGCAGCAGGAUUUGAAAGUCAGCCCUGCCCUCUUGGACUCCAGCAUCCUUCAAGCAAGACAUUUCAGAAGAAGGCCAAGAGAAGCCAGGAUGCUUUGAUACUUCUCCUCUCCUUGCCCUGACCCUUCCGUACCCGUGUUUCAUCUGGCACAGGAGCCUGGACUGUGGGAAGUCGGCCGCCAACUGUUGAGAGAAGUUCUGGGGAUGCCCUAAGCUGGUGCAAUACAAAGAAGUUUUUUAAAAUCUUGAUUUCACUUUCUUUUACGUGUGUGUGUAAACCCAGGUCAAACUGGAAUUGAUCUACAGUAGAACUGACUGAAAAACAAACUGAAAAAAGACUUAACUAUUUUAUUUAUUUCGAUAUUUAAGAGAGAAAAGAAGUGCUGAAGUUGCACAGUAUUUUUGUUUGAAAUACAUUUUACUUCAAAUUUUAAAUACAAUUUUGUGAAGACAUGAAAUUUUAAAAAGCACUUAAUGUAAAAUAAAGACUGAAUAUUUACUUUAAGGAAAAAACUUUUUUUAAAUAAUGAAAAUAAAGAUCAACUCUGCUCUCUCUCUUACUUUAAAGAAGCCAUUCAUACAUGUGCUGGGUUCUUUGUUUUUUGCAAAUUGGAUGUGAAACUGGUCCUGUUGCUUGCUAUAGUGAAGGUGACUAUGACUUGAAAACUUCACUGCUUGCCUUCAGACCUUAUCUUUACCUGUGUGAGGCCUUUAGCGGAUUCAUUGGAAGAAGGAGGAAAGCAAAAGGCAGUUUCAGCUGCCUUUGAUAUCCUCAGUCACUGUGGCUCUUGGGAACCUCUUCGGAAUCUGAUAGAGCAGCUUUUGGACUCCUUAAUGGGUUGUCCUCAGCUGUUCUGUGGCUAAAAAGUCUGUCCUUCCUUUUCACCUGUUGGGCCCUGGGGACCAGAGGCAGCUGAAAGGUGGGGUAAGGUGCUAACCGUAUUUCUGAGCUGUGCUGAGAAGGUAGCUAUGAUGCUCUCCUUAGGGCACAUACUGGGUGACAGGGUUGCUGGUUUUAAAGCCCCUCCUAGCAACUUCCAGUUUUCUUUCUGCACUUUGCUCUCAGAUAUUCUUAACAAUAAUCUGAGUUGUAGGCCUACAAAACUACUUUUCCUUGGGGAUUUCAUGGGGGAGCAAAUACCCUUCUUUUCCUACCCCAAAGCAAACAGAGGAGGCAGGGUAUGUGAUGACAGAUCCUGAGCCCCUGGCCAUGGCUGCUUUUGUUGUUCUUCUUCUAGCUCCUCUUGAGCUUUCUGCUGUGCUGCAUAGGACAGAGAGACCCAGGCGGAGGUUGGACCGAGGGCAAAGCUGAAUGGUGACAAAUCAAAGAAAGGAAAGUUGAAGAAAGGAAGGAAGGAAACUGCUUGUGGCAUCAGUGCACUUUUCUUGUUCAAUAGGUCAUUUCCCAUUCUAAUGCAGUUGUCAUUUUCAUUGUCCCCAGCGUGAUGGAUGCAGAGAGCAGAGCUAGACAUUUCUGCUAAGGUAACCAGGAGUGAAAGUGUACGUUGAAAUUGGCCUUUAUGGAUGUCUGUCAACACCCUGUUUAGAUGAAUGGGAUCCUUCCCACCACAGCAGAGCUAUUGUUACAGGCUGUCAGACUCCAGAGAACAACUCCGCAUAAGUCUUAUUACUUUGAACGUUUUGGUGCUUUUUGUUGUUGUUGUUUUUUGGUGGGUUUUCUUUUAAUCCACAGGCCUGGAAAUAGAAAUGUUCUAAAGGAAAGUUUUAAUUUUGCAGAAAUUAUCAGAACAGAAAAAAAUACCACUGUUCCCUAAGCCCCAGAGCAGAUUUACGUUGGCAUGCUGGCUAGGAAGGUAUCGUAUUUUCCUGUCUGGAGAAGGGUUCUUGCUGGUGAGAGUCAGACAUGGCAGGAGGAGCGAGUAAAAAGCUGAAGGCUGGAAUCUUGAGUUCUCUGGAUGGGCUGAAAAUGGCAUUGCCUUCUUUGCUUUGACCUGAACUAGAAUACUGCACUGGUUUAAGAUUUGUUCCAAUCUUUUGCCUGGAAUCAGGAAAAAAAAAGCUGGUUAAAAUUGUAUCCGGGAGCUUGUAAGCCCUACUUGUAAUCAGAUCCAUCAGCCUACAGAUGAUAAAAAAACCCAUAACCCUGUCUCUCUAAAACCAAGCUUUUAAUGCUCAUUAUCAAAGACAUAAACUUCUCUGUACCCUGUCCAUCCCUACUGUUGAAGAUGGCUGAGUAGGACCUCAACUACAUAAAGCAUAAGUAGCAGAGCACACCAGCAGUAACUACUCCUCUUAGCUAUGGCUAGGCUUGUCCAAAUUAUGGCUUGAUGUGUUUAAGAUCUCCAUUGUCCCUUGGAAAUUAUUGUAAAAUUAUAUUUCCUUUGCUGCAUGAAAGAUGGACGUUUGCCAAAGUUUAGUCCUAUCUUUGGUUUUAAAGACCUAAGAUGAGAGCCAUCCAUCACCAGUAUAUUUUUUAAGACCUGACUGCAUUUUUUGCUAUUUCAAUAAAUGCUCUUGCUGUGUGUGUGUGUGUUAGAAAUGUUUACCGUAUCAUCUGUUAUUUGGUGAAGUUUUGUCCUUGCAGCCUGUAAUUCUCCAUGGUGCCUGCACCACAAGACGAGAUGGAUGGCAUUUACCUUUAAAAAAGCGCAGAUUUCUGGAGCACGGAGUUGUGGCUAAUACUGCCAUCCAGGAUAUGAUUAGAAACGGUUUUGUUUAAUGUUUUCUAAGAUAGCUGUGGUAGCUCUGAGUGGCCUACAAACCAACUAUGGCACUGCUGUGGAAAAGGCAAUACACUUUGAACAUUGAAGCCGGGCGGUGGGCUGAAGCUCUUGGAAGUACUGCUGCCUGCCUGAGAGAGGUAGCUGCUCUGGGAAGCUUGCAGAGGGGACUCCUUUGGGAUCCCAGCUGAUAGAUGGCACCUCUUGAGCAGGAACAGACAUAGCCUCUCUUCAAUGUCUUAGGCUGAGUGGGUUUUUUCAAAGUGGAGUUUCAUUUCUCAGUGCUGUUAUCUUCCAUAACCAAUUCUCAGUAAGACCUUCUAGUUGAUGUCUACGUUUGCCCAGGUGUUAAGAGUCAUUUUUUUGCUUGGACUGGAGCCCCUUCUCAUUAUGUUUUUUCAGUCUUUGUUGUUAGUGUCCUGGUGUUGGUGGCUUCAUUGUGGACUGCAGGAAGAGAAUGAACGUGACCAAAUCUUUCAGAUACAGCCUUCUUUUUUGAAACAGAUUAGAGAUUUUAAGUAAUGCUGGAGAGAGUUUUCUCAAGCGUUGCUGAAGACUUAGCGUACUAGUUUGGAUUUGUUUCGUUAGCCAACAGCCAUUAACUUCUUCAUAUGAUGAUCUCAGGAGUUAGUAUUGAGGUCAGCUCUCCAAUAUGAGAGGAAGUCAUUGGAGGGGAAAUAGUUGAAAAUUGUGCUGUCAGUAAAGGGGUACUGUUCUUUUAGUGUCACGUAGCUUUCAAGUUCACGUAGCACUUUGUACAGUGGAGUUUACAUGGGGUGGUUUUAAGCCUAUGUUUGAGAAAUUAAUUUUCCCCGGUCGGUACAAAUCUCAGUUGCUUCACAUCAGUGCUCUGAUAUGCUUAAAUAUGUUAAACAACACUAAAGUCUUUCCAGGCGCUUCCUCAAGCUCAACAAUUUCUUUUAUGGUGCAGUAGAUUCUGCAGCUGGAUCUUGGCUCAGAAUUCUCAUCCAUUGCUGGGAUACCUGGGCUUGGGCUUCUUAAGGAACAGGUCCCAUCUCUCCUCAGGUUUGUUCCACACCAACUAUGUCUCUGAAUGUGUCCAUCAGCCUGGAGGCUUAGAAUACUUUUUAACUAUGCACAAACUCUCUCUAAGUUGAAUUCAGAUUGCUGUUGUACUCUUCAGACAUCCGGAUAGUCCAGAGCCAUGUAUUCCUUCACCUGGAGAAGACGACCUUCCCUGGGUUAGGGAACUUCAUUUCCCUUGCAAGGCCAGGUCAGCCUCUUCAUUAAUUAGCUCUCCAAGACCCCUUCCUUACUUCCAUUAAGGGUGAGAUUUUACAAGUACUUAGUGAUCUGAAAGAAAAAAAUGGUGAAGAAUUUCCUAAGGACAUCUGCACCCAUUGGAUUCCUCUGUGACUGUUUAAAUAUUUACGGGUCUGGCAUUAUGUGAAGAAGAACAAGUCCCCAUUAGGCUCAGGGCAGGUAUCAUUAAGAAUUGCCAAACAUUUAAUGGGUAAUGGGAUCCCACCUAGCAGUGAAUGUCUCAGGUGAUGAACACCCUCAACAGCUGUUAAAGGUGAGAGGAGUUGUGUGCCCAGAACUCUGUCAGACCAGCCUGUAGGAGAGGACUUCCUAACCUCUUUGCCAUUAAGAGAACCACCGAGCAACAGUUCUGCUAGCCGAUGUUGCAGCCAGCUAAGAGCAGGGUCAGAAGAUUCACGGAUCCCUGUAGUACCGUGGAAGACCAUUUUCUAGCAUUAAAUACGAUAAUGUUCUACUUUUAUAUAGGCUCUGUUAAGCAAUUCCUCUGGUGCUGGAAAGUGAACUGUUUAAUGAAGGACAUUUGUGUCCACUGCGGUGGAACUAGCUAAUUUCUUGUUUAAUCUGAUGUGAUAUUUAGCUGCUGUGAAGUAUCGGUUGUGUAGGUUAAAGCAACGCUGCUCACUUGUUACAGGUUAAAGAAUGGCCUGCACUUUGAUUUGCCUAAUCCGGGGUAGGAGGUCUGGUGAGCUCUGAGAAAACAGAUCAUGGAUUUUAAUCUAGUGUUCUCCCCGUGAAAAACAAACCAAAAAAAAUUGCUACUGUUUUGGUGUGUCUGGCAGCAUUUUGUUGGACAGUUACUCAAAAAAGGCUGAACUGAAAAAUACCCUGGUGAGGAGAAAAGAUUUUGGUUUGAUUCGAAACGGAACGCAUUCUCUUUUUUUCUGAAUGAAAUGACCCUUUACCACUGCCAAGUGUGUGCGGGCUUGAAUGAACAUUUCAUUUGUAAGUAUUUUUUUUGUCUCUUAAAAACAAUUCCAUCGAGCUCAUUUUUGAAGCAAGGUACUGCUCCAAAACGAAAGUCCGACUUCUUGUUUGUGAAACACUGGCACAAAAUCUCACCCAUUCUGAAAAAUCAGUUUCUCCCUCUGCUGCCUCUUAACCCUUUCUCCCCUCCUGCUUGCUUUUGACUGGAACUACUUCAUUCAAAUUCAUUCCUUCACUCAGAUGUUUAGAUCACCCUGAAAUUGCAUUUUUUAGAGAGUAAACUGAGACAUUUCACCCCCUCCUACCGAGCGCGUACUGAUGCUCUGCAGGGUGCAGUUAUAGCUCUUACUUCCCUCUAGAUAUUGAUGUUGCUGGAACUUUGAUGGGGAAGUGAAAACUGGCUGCCAUAUGAUGAAAUCUCGAUUGGCACUUAGAAAUUCUCAACCAAACAGGGGGGUUUAACUAACGAAGAAGGGAAAAAAUCAGUAGACGAUGGGAUUUUUCCAGCUUCUGGCAUGGCAUUGCAAACAAUGGAGAGUGUGUGUGGAGAGCACUGCCCAUUCGGCAGCUGAAAGGGUUUCUUUAAAUCAACGAGGAACUGAAGUAAUUUGCUCCAAAUUGUUUUUGUUUGUGUUUAGUUGAGUGAGGCAGUUCUACUUAUGUCUGUAGAUACAAUCAUAGUAGCAACGGUGUAAAUUAUGCUUGUGGGGGAAACCAGACCUCUUGCAUUUACGGCGUGUUCACAUUGGUUAUCAACAAUUUACCCAUCACGUGCUGAAUUUCUUUACCCGGAUGACACGUGGUUACCUCAUGGAACAGCAAUGAGGCUACUGCCUAUGCAACGGC